rnacentral:rRNA from 1 species
GGGGAAUUUUGGACAAUGGGGGCAACCCUGAUCCAGCCAUGCCGCGUGCAGGAUGAAGGCCUUCGGGUUGUAAACUGCUUUUGUACGGAACGAAAAGCCUCUCUCUAAUACCGGGGGGGUAUGACGGUACCGUAAGAAUAAGCACCGGCUAACUAGGUGCCAGCAGCCGCGGUAAUACGUAGGGUGCAAGCGUUAAUCGGAAUUACUGGGCGUAACGCGUGCGCAGGCGGUUUUGUAAGACAGUGGUGAAAUCCCCGGGCUCAACCUGGGAACUGCCAUUGUGACUGCAAGGCUGGAGUGCGGCAGAGGGGGAUGGAAUUCCGCGUGUAGCAGUGAAAUGCGUAGAGAUGUGGAGGAACACCAAUGGCGAAGGCAGCCCCCUAGGUCGAUACUGACGCUCAUGAACGAAAGCGUGGGGAGCAAACA